rnacentral:rRNA from 1 species
GACGAACGCUGGCGGCGUGCCUAAUACAUGCAAGUCGAACGCAGUGGGGACGGGUGAGUAACACGUGGGUAACCUCCCAUCAGAGGGGAUAACAGUUGGAAAAAGGUGCUAAACCGAUAUUGGUGGAUGGACCCGGGGUGGAUUAGCUAGUUGGUGAGGUAACGGCUCAACAAGGCCACGAUGCAUAGCUGGUCUGAGAGGGUGAUCCGCCACACUGGGACUGAGACACGGCCCAGACUCCUACGGGAGUCAGCAGUGGGGAAUCUUCGACAAUGGGCGAAAGCCUGACCGAGCCACGCCGCGUGAGUGAAGAAGGUUUUCGGAUCGUAAAACUCUGUUUUUAGAGAAGCGGUAUCUAACCAGAAAGCCACGGCUAACUCCGUGCCAGCCGCCGCGGUAAUAC